rnacentral:rRNA from 1 species
UACAGAGGGUGCAAACGUUGUUCGGAAUUACUGGGCGUAAAGCGCGUGUAGGCGGCUAUGCAAGUCGGGCGUGAAAUCCCACGGCUCAACCGUGGAAGUGCACUCGAAACUGCGUAGCUAGAGUCCUGGAGAGGAAGGUGGAAUGCUUGGUGUAGAGGUGAAAUUCGUAGAUAUCAAGCGGAACACCGGUGGCGAAGGCGGCCUUCUGGACAGUGACUGACGCUGAGACGCGAAAGCGUGGGGAGCAAACAGG